rnacentral:rRNA from 1 species
AUUGAACGCUAGCGGGAUGCUUUACACAUGCAAGUCGAACGGCAGCGCGGACUUCGGUCUGGCUGCGAGUGGCGAACGGGUGAGUAAUGUAUCGGAACGUGCCCAGUAGCGGGGGAUAACUACGCGAAAGCGUAGCUAAUACCGCAUACGCCCUACGGGGGUAAGCAGGGGAUCGUAAGACCUUGCACUAUUGGAGCGGCCGAUAUCGGAUUAGCUAGUUGGUGAGGUAACGGCUCACCAAGGCGACGAUCCGUAGCUGGUUUGAGAGGACGACCAGCCACACUGGGACUGAGACACGGCCCAGACUCCUACGGGAGGCAGCAGUGGGGAAUUUUGGACAAUGGGGGCAACCCUGAUCCAGCCAUCCCGCGUGUGAGAUGAAGGCCUUCGGGUUGUAAAGCACUUUUGGCAGGAAAGAAACGUCGCGGGCUAAUACCCCGUGGAACUGACGGUACCUGCAGAAUAAGCACCGGCUAACUACGUG